rnacentral:rRNA from 1 species
UGAACGCUGGCGGUAGGCUUAACACAUGCAAGUCGGACGGAAACGAUAGAGAAGCUUGCUUUUCUAGGCGUCGAGUGGCGGACGGGUGAGUAACGCGUGGGAAUCUACCCUGUAGUUGGGGACAACAUAUGGAAACGUAUGCUAAUACCGAAUAUGAUCUACGGAUUAAAGGAGCCCUCUUCUUGAAAGGUUUCGCUAUAGGAUGAGCCCGCGUAAGAUUAGCUAGUUGGUGAGGUAAUGGCUCACCAAGGCCACGAUCUUUAGCUGGUUUGAGAGGAUGAUCAGCCACACUGGGACUGAGACACGGCCCAGACUCCUACGGGAGGCAGCAGUGGGGAAUAUUGCACAAUGGACGAAAGUCUGAUGCAGCCAUACCGCGUGUGUGAAGAAGGCCCGAGGGUUGUAAAGCACUUUCAAUUGGGAGGAAGAUUAAGUAGCUAAUAUCUGCUUAGUUUGACGUUACCUUUAGAAGAAGCACCGGCUAACUCU